GUGGGAGGGGGCUUGCUCCCGAUGAGCUGGGUCAGUCAGCUUAUUUGUAGCUGACCCACUGCUAUCGGGAGCAAGCCCCCUCCCAC
rnacentral:misc_RNA from 1 species